UCUUUUCCCCCUUGGCUGCCUUUUUCACCUCUUGCUUUUCCCCCUGUGCCCCCUCUGUCCCCUCUCCCUGUGCUGGGUCCGAGCUGGCAGCCGGGCCGGGCGGAGCAGCAGUUCCAGCCCCGGGUGUCCCUGGAGCGGUGGGAGCUGCCGGUGGCCCCAGGCACUGUCCCCUGAGGAGCUGCUGCAGGACGCUGCAGUGAAGAUCUUGAGGACAGCCGGAGACUGACGGGAGCCAGCAGGGAGAAGCUGAAGGCCAGCAGCAAGAGCAGGGAACGGGGACCUGCCGCUGCCACGCUGGAGAGAGCCCGGCUGUGCCAUCUGCUGUCCCUGUCCAGGAGAGCUGCUCUGCACGGGAGGAAGAGACCGAGGGAGAGGCUUUGAAGGUGGGGCAGCUGAGAUCCCUCUGCUUGCAGUUCUGUUUGGAGAUACACGGACUUGCACAUAGACAGGGAUAAUUACCUGGAUAUGUUUCACAUGUAGGCUGUUAUUUGUAUAGGU